UUUGGGUAUUAAUUUGAAAUAAAUCUGCUCAAAGUCUCAUGCAAAUCUGAAACAAAUUUGCUCAAAUCUCGCUCAUUAAAUGAUGAACGACUAUUUUACCGUUCAAAUCCCCAAUGUCCAAAUUCAAACGGAUAUAUUGACCGAAAUUAAAGAUCUGAAUUUCAAAAUCUCGCCCAAGUCAAGAACCCUAGAUUUUCACCUAUAAAAACCAGCACUUGGAGUCCAUCUGAACAGGGUUUUUAGCCGCACCUUUACCCCUCAAAAUGGUGGGAGCCUCCUCCUUUUCCGAAACUCACUAAUUUUUUUGAAAUCAUAGCUCGACCAACUCUUUCUCUAUUUGGUUUGCAAUUUCCAAGCAGAGGCUCUUGUCUUUUGCUCAGCCGAGGUAGUGAGUUUGAGGUCGAAGUGCGAUAGUUGAUCGACGACGCUCUUAGCUCACUGCCCCGCAAAAGUUUAAACCUUCAUCAUGGUCGAAAUUUACCAAUCAACACAGUUGAGGACAACCAAGUUGGAGAUAGCGUACCAUGCAAAAUAAAAAGGGAAGAAUAGCCAUGAUAAUGAUAUGUAAGUAACAAGCAGAGAAAAAUAGAGAAUGUACAUCGAUAUAUUGGUACCA